UUCCAGGGCUCGAAGCUGGCCAUCUGGGAGUUUGGUGUGGGUUCCCUCAUCCACUUGAUCACCUCCUGGUUGUUCACCACCCACACAUCAGGCAUCUUCACCAACUCGUCCAGGAAUCGCUGUGCAUCCAUUGUACAUCUUAUCUAGAGCAUACCAGUAUCUGAAUGUUCCCUCCUUCAUAAGAAACAAGAUCCGGUUCAAUCCCUUAAAAAAACUGAUUUGCCUGUAUCCCUCCACACACUACUAUAUCUGUGUAAGAAAAAGAGAGGCAGAGACCAACCAACCUUCUCGCCUACUGACCUUCAUUGCCUUCAUGUUGUGCUUGGUCUUGAACCAGAUGGUGUGGAAGUAGAGGCCAAGCGGUGCCCUGUUGGUGUUGUAGUGUCGGCGGAAGUUAUGCAUCAACAUUUCAUACACAUCCUCCUCGUCCGUCGACGGUGGGCACUGAUCCAUCAUAGCGCAGUAGUACUCCUGCAAGUCCAACAACAUCCUUUUACAAUUUCAUGGGAAAACACGGUAUCGUUAUGCAGUGUAGUGUACAACAACAUACAUACAUACAUACCCUCUGGUCUGCCAAAACCUACCCCUGCCUGAAGUUGAUUGAGCACCAUCUCCCAUAUGCCCGGAAAGGAUCUAGAGGGACAGCGCUGGCUUGUGCCCAUACACUUGUGGGGCAUCUUGUAGUCGAGGGUGUAGGGCCAGAGUGGAGGGUUGGAGAAAGGCGCAGCCAUCGAAGAGUCAUAGAUGAAGCCAAACUCCCGCAUCAUGAUGAACUGUCUGUUCCAUCCCACACGCAAGAAGGGCACACGAACACCUGAGGAGCAAUCCCAUGAAGACAAUCUCUAGCGUAUAUCACCCUGAAGUGUACACCAUUUCCAGUGGCUUUACCGACAACUCACCCCAGAGGUCCUCCAUGCGAACGCCCCCGAAGCGGUUGAUAAUGUUGGCUUGGCCCACAAACUCGUCAAACCAGUCCUCGAUGGUGGCGUUGUUCGUCCAGAAGUUCUCUGGGCCCUUGUGUCUGUAUAGUGAUCAUCCAAGAUAGGAGGAACUAUAUUAAUGUUCAACCAAAAUCUCUCUACCCUGUAUAUUGUUUGCAUUACUCUGUACUCAUUUGUAUGCUCUGCCCAAAAGUCAGCCCCAAAUCGGCCAGACCAACAUACGUGAUUGAGUGGACAGCAAUCUCGUGACCAUCGUUCCAGAGCUUCUGAGUAUACUGGUAGUUGUUGUACUCGUGAGAGACAUAGAAGGUGGCGUGGAUGGGACAUCCAUUGGGAUUGGUUCUCUCUCCAUUGAAUAGCUGUGCAUAUAGGUCCCAGUUCUCGUAGUUGAUGGCGUCAUCAAACGUCAGUGUCACCAUCUGGGGAACCUGCAGAAUGAGGGCGGGCAUGGUUAUAUAUGAAGUCCCAGAGUGGCCAUUAGAAUGCGCGCGCAUAAUUUAAAGUGUCAGGAAUUCGUAAUUACCUGAAUAGUUACAGAAUGAGCUACGCUCGUAGUGUCCCAUCUUUUCGAUAAUCUUUAGUUAUGCGACUCAAACUACUGAUGGUUUUUGAUAUCCACUACCUUCUCGAUUAACGUGUUCCAUCCUUCUACAGCUCUUCGUAAGACGAGAACUUAUGUUGUUUUUUUGCAUUUUUGUGUCAUCUUGAAUACAUGUCCUCCUGGGUUUAAAGUUGCAGGUUUAAAAAAUUCCUUAUUUAUGUCUUCCUGAUACUAUUUUGUACGUAGUGAUUAUAUCGCCUCUUUUUCCCUCUAUCUUUGGCAUAUUUAACACCUUGCCUCUCCUUGUAGUAUAUAUGGAAGUUGUGUUUUGCCUUAUAUGGAAGUGUGUGUGUGUUUCCUUAUAUUCCUUUGUACCUCGCCCUGGCCUGGUGACGCUCUAUUACUCUCUCAUCUAUCCUUAUCUCAGUUAUGGUAUUUGUGCUUGGGGUUCUACUACCCAAAAUCAUUUACGUCCUCUAAUUACUCAACACAAAGCUGCUAUCAGAACAAUAUCUAACUCUGGCCCCAGACAUCACUCUCUCAACCAGUUCAAGAUGGAAACUAAAAACUACCUAAUAAACUCCAUGUAACCUAUGCAGGCGAUGAGUCACAAUAACGUGGCUAAAGUAUGUUGACCAGACCACACACUAGAAAGUGAAGGGGCGACGACGUUUCAGUCCGUCCUGGAC